rnacentral:rRNA from 1 species
ACUAACGCUGGCGGCGCGUCUUAAACAUGCAAGUCGAGCGGAGUAGCAAUACUUAGCGGCGAACGGGUGAGUAACACGUGGGUAAUCUUCCUCCGAAUCUGGGAUAACUUUCCGAAAGGAAAGCUAAUACCGGAUAGUUCUAUUGGAUCACAGGAUUUGAUAGAUAAAGGUUUACUGUUCGGAGAUGAGCCCGCGGCCGAUUAGCUAGUUGGUGAGGUAAUGGCUCACCAAGGCGACGAUCGGUAGCCGGCCUGAGAGGGUGUCCGGCCACAAUGGAACUGAGACACG